UUCUGUCUUUGAUUUCUUUUAUAUAAGCGCUUUUGGAAACCUCACUUUUCGGACUUCUGAUUCGGCUUGUGUUGUAUUUUUCUUUAUAUUUAUUGUAACUUUUAUUUUUCUGCUCUUUUCUUUUUAGUUUCUUCAUCUCUUUACAAUAUUUAAUUCUCUAUGUCUCGGACAUGAAAUUCUUCUGUUCUGCAAUUAAUAUUUUACCUAUUUAUUGACAAAUUACCAUAUGUUUUUUU
rnacentral:lncRNA from 1 species